rnacentral:lncRNA from 1 species
AUGCAAAAGCAACAUCAGAAGAAUGCCUGUGUGCUCUGUCUUUGGUGUGAAAAGACAGUGUGUUUGUCCACAAAAAAAAAAAAAAAAAAAAAAGUUUAUUUUCUUAGCUUUUCUUUCUCUUUUUACGUCUCCUGUAGUUUCUCUCCCUGUUUUUCUGCCCUCAGCCCUGCCUGUUCUUUUCUGGAGGCUGGUUUCCACCAGGAGGUGCAAGUCGGCAUUACCCACACACCAAGCGUUUGGCUCUGCUCCACGUCCUGCGUGAGAGGGACCAUUAAAGAAGAACAGAGGGUGAAAUUCCACCCAAGUCAUUUUCGUUCUUCCAGCCCCAAAUUCCCACACUGCUCUGACAAGGAGAGUCCCCCAGACAGCCAUCCCACCUUGUCCUCAUGUUGCUGCUGGCUCCUCAGGCACAUGCUGCCUUCCUGGGAGAAUGCUGCAGCUCCUUCCCAAGCCCCCACGUGCUGUGUCUGCACCUCCAGCCAGACCAUCUUGGCUAGUGUCUGCGACAGGAAUGACAUCAGAAGCACUGAGUCAUGA